GACGAACGCUGGCGGCGUGCUUAACACAUGCAAGUCGAACGGAAAGGCCCUGCUUUUGUGGGGUGCUCGAGUGGCGAACGGGUGAGUAACACGUGAGUAACCUGCCCUUGACUUUGGGAUAACUUCAGGAAACUGGGGCUAAUACCGGAUAGGAGCUCCUGCUGCAUGGGGGGGGUUGGAAAGUUUCGGCGGUUGGGGAUGGACUCGCGGCUUAUCAGCUUGUUGGUGGGGUAGUGGCUUACCAAGGCUUUGACGGGUAGCCGGCCUGAGAGGGUGACCGGCCCCAUUGGGCCUGCGAUACGGCCCAGACUCCUCCGGGAGGCAGCAGUGGGGAAUAUUGCACAAUGGGCGGAAGCCUGAUGCAGCACCGCCGCGUGCGGGUUGACGGCCUUCGGGUUGUAACCCGCUUUCGCCUGUGCCGAAGCGUGAGUGACGGUAAUGGGUAAAGAAGCACCGGCUAACUACGUG
rnacentral:rRNA from 1 species